rnacentral:rRNA from 1 species
AUUGAACGCUGGCGGCAUGCCUUACACAUGCAAGUCGAACGGCAGCACGGGAGCUUGCUCCUGGUGGCGAGUGGCGAACGGGUGAGUAAUACAUCGGAACGUACCCAGGAGUGGGGGAUAACGUAGCGAAAGUUACGCUAAUACCGCAUAUUCUGUGAGCAGGAAAGCGGGGGAUCGCAAGACCUAGCGUUCUUGGAGCGGCCGAUGUCGGAUUAGCUAGUUGGUGGGGUAAAAGCUCACCAAGGCGACGAUCCGUAGCAGUUCUGAGAGGAUGAUCUGCCACACUGGGACUGAGACACGGCCCAGACUCCUACGGGAGGCAGCAGUGGGGAAUUUUGGACAAUGGGGGCAACCCUGAUCCAGCCAUGCCGCGUGAGUGAAGAAGGCCUUCGGGUUGUAAAGCUCUUUCGGCGGGGAAGAAAUGGCAACGGCUAAUAUCCGUUGUUGAUGACGGUACCCGCAUAAGAAGCACCGGCUAACUACGUGCCAGCAGCCGCCGUAA